rnacentral:rRNA from 1 species
UACAGAGGUCUCAAGCGUUGUUCGGAUUCAUUGGGCGUAAAGGGUGCGUAGGUGGCGCUGUAAGUCAGGUGUGAAAUUUCGGAGCUUAACUCCGAAACUGCAUUUGAUACUGCGGUGCUUGAGGACUGGAGAGGAGACUGGAAUUUACGGUGUAGCAGUGAAAUGCGUAGAGAUCGUAAGGAAGACCAGUGGCGAAGGCGGGUCUCUGGGCCGUAACUGACGCUGAGGAGCGAAAGCGUGGGGAGCGAACAGG